AGGAGGCCCGUGUUUGACUUCAUGCGAGCGUUCUGGGAAGGCGGGGUUGGUUACUCACCUCAAGAAGGAGGAUGAAAUAAGCGUGUUGUUGCUGCAACACAUAUUUGUAGGGGGUGGGUAUGUUCUCAGCCUUCUGUGUUAACAGUACUGGGGCUUGAAGAAAAUCCUGCUAGAAUUAAAGGUUGCAUCACAGGAAAACCAUCUCUCUGAGAGGAACUUAAACCUGCUUUCGUUUUCCCUUCCCCUAAGCUGAAGGGAUGGGGUUAGGCUAAAAGGCUUCACUUUUGGAAACAGGCUGUACGAGGAAGCUGAGUUCGGUUUUUCUUUCUUCAGAACCACUCUGUUCACAUGGGGACAGUGCAGUUCACCUGCCCAUCAGCCCUGCCAUUGCGACAGCCCCAGCUCCCGGUUUCACUUGUGCUGCAGGCUCCGACUCUGCUUUGAACACAGACGACUUGCCCUGCGGCUAGUGAAGGAUUGAGGAUAUUGCCUCUUGGGAAGCAUCCCUAAAAAAUAAUGCUUCAUUCUCCCCUUCCCCACUCCAAUAAAAUUGGGCUGUGCCUCCUGCCA